rnacentral:lncRNA from 1 species
GCCCACUGUAUUAACACUUCUUUAGUGGGUCGUCGUCGUCGAGUCACGAUCCGUCGAUCAAUAAUGGCACUUGGCUGGGUUUGGAGUUCUCUUUGGGUAGUCAUAUUUGGUGGGUGGCUUUGGGCUGUCUCCAAGCACCUAUUUAAAACUUCCGUCUGGUUGUUGGUUUGUGGGUGAUAUGUCGUACUCCUUUUCAAUUUUGUACCCUGCAUAUGGAAUAACUUUGUC